GCCGAAGCCGCAGUCGCGUUUCAACAUUUGCGAAAACACAGCGUACGAGGCGCUUGCGAGAGAAUACCAAAGCUAAAUAUAAACUCUGAUUAAACUAUUAUAGUUUGUAAACACAUCGGCUUAAUUCAAGUUCAACCAAAAUGCACACGAGAUUAGAUUGCGACUGAAAUUAGUCACGAAUUGCCAGUGAAGUGUGAAAGAAAAGCAAUUGUGUGUUAUAAUAAAAGACACUUAAAGCCUGCAUACAAGAUGUCACGUGGGUCACACUCGACGGGCACUCUGCAUUGUUGCUGCCAGAAGUUGUUGUUGCUCUUAUGGGCUGCUUCUGCAUUGCGCGCUACGUUGGCGGGCCCAUCUUAUCGCUCUUACGGCCAGUGCACUGAUGCCGAAACCGGACGCGAGCUCUACAUCGGCGAGUCCUUCACACGUCCGGGCCAGUGCAUACGCGUGCAGUGCUUGGGCACACUGCAGUUAUGGGAAGAUGGCUGUGAAGUACCCAAAUUAGAGGGUAAUUGUAGUCCCGUGCCGCCGGGCAAUGAAUUUCUCAACUAUCCAUAUUGUUGUCCACUGUUUGUGUGCAGAAAGAUUGCCGUCAGCGAAAAGGAUCGGCGAGAAGAGAUACGCACAUACAAUCAGUACGGCACUAUGAUUAAACAGGACAUACAGCAAAUUUUCAGUGUAGGCCCAGUUAAGGGCAAUGUACCGGGCGCUGGUGUAAUUACACAAUUUGAAAUCUAAGUGCGAAAACUAUUUGGGAAUAUUUGACGAUUUUUAUUAAAUGAGAAAGAAGACACCUUAGAAUUUUAAAAGAAGCUGCUCAUUUCUUGGAACUGCCGAUAUCGGACCACUAUAACAUUUAGCUGCCAUACAAACUGAAAGAUCGGAAUCAAAUGCUUGUAUGGAAAACUUUCGCAUUUGACGUGGUAUCUUCACGAAAUUUGACAUGGAUUCCGGCUUAAAGUAAUAAUGUAAUAUGCGAUGAAAUUGUUCAGAUGCAGCAUAAAGCUUCCAUAUAAACUGAACACAUAGUUACUAAAAGAAAUGCGCCUGUGAAGGCUAUAUUAGCUUCGGUGCAGCCGAAGUUAACGUUUUUUCUUGUUUUAACUAAAGAACUUCUGAAACUUGCAAUAACUCAUUGUGAAAUUGACUUUCUGUAGAUAAAAUUAAUAUUAGUUAAGUAAUUAAAAGCGUCUCAAACUAC